rnacentral:lncRNA from 1 species
GAAUGGACUCCCGAGGUGAAGGACCUGCUCAUUUAUCGGUACUGGCCAGCUAGCACCAGCUGCCAGACCCUGUACAAGUUUGAUGUCUUCACCUCUUUUGAACAUAUGAAGGUGACGGCACCAGCCAUGUCCAGGCAGGCCUUCCUGAAAAUGUUGGAGCACAGAUCUGUUGAAGCUGGAAGGGUAAAUCUGCCUGAAUAUCACUGAAACAUAUAACAAACAAAAUUAUAUUACUAUAUACCUAAUAUUUAAUUGUAGGGCAUUGCUUCAAAAAAUCCUAACCCGAUCAUUUCUUAAUAUACAGACAGGUAGUAUCUGUGCUGAUACAUUUCAGCGAAGCUUUUUUGAGUUUUACCUUCUGUCAAUACAAAGAAGAGGAUAUGUGCCAGGUCCAUCAUUUUGAGUGUCCAGCAUGUUCUCCAGACAUGUUGGCUGUCUGCUCUGAUGGGAACCGAAACUAUUACCGCUUCAGCAAGUCAAAGGGUAGGUAUAGGUAGGUAGUAUCUGUGCUGAUACAUUUCAGCGAAGCUUUUUUGAGUUUACCUUCUGUCAAUACAAAGAAGAGGAUAUGUGCCAGGUCCAUCAUUUUGAGUGUCCAGCAUGUUCUCCAGACAUGUUGGCUGUCUGCUCUGAUGGGAACCGAAAACAUUACCGCUUCAGCAAGUCAAAAGGGUAGGUAUAGGUAUUUUUCAGAAGUUUAUUUUAGACUUGUCUUACACAAAUAGUAGCUCUUCGGGUUGUCUUUGAGUGAUCAUAACUUACAUUUUAACAAAUAGUAAAUGUAGUACUUGUGAUUUUUAUUACUGACGCAUGUUAUCUUAUCAUGGACAGGACUGAGGAGCCACCCAUAUAUGAGGGCUUGUUCUUGGCCAAGGACGAGGAAGUUGCUACCUUUGUUGACCUUGUCAGAGGCAACAUGAGAAGUGCAAAUGAAAGUGCUGUGUGCGGUACUGCCAAGUUCACCGCUGGCAGAGAGAUGUCAAAAAAGUCUGGUGCUCAGAUAGACGAGGAGGGCAUUCAAGUUGCAGUUUGCAGGUAUGUAUGAGUUUGUGUAUGAUUUUUGAGUCUGAUAUUUGAGUUUUAAUGGUAAUCCAAGUCUUAAGGUCCUUGCACACCGAGUCCGAAAUUUUCACAUGCGUUUUUUCAUAUUCAUGAUUCUGUGGCUCUGAAUUGUCAAAACACCAGUCCAACUGCUUGCUACUGAAAAACGCAGAAAAUCUAACCCGCUUCUUAUGUUUAUGACAGAUCAAAAAAGUCUGGUGCUCAGAUAGACGAGGAGGGCAUUCAAGUUGCAGUUUGCAGGUAUGUAUGAGUUUGUGUAUGAUUUUUGAGUCUGAUAUUUGAGUUUUAAUGGUAAUCCAAGUCUUAAGGUCCUUGCACACCGAGUCCGAAAUUUUCACAUGCGUUUUUUCAUAUUCAUGAUUCUGUGGCUCUGAAUUGUCAAAACACCAGUCCAACUGCUUGCUACUGAAAAACGCAGAAAAUCUAACCCGCUUCUUAUGUUUAUGACAGACGAAAGUUUAGGAGGGAGUCUAACCACUAGAUUUUCUUCUGAUUUAUCAGACAUGGGUUUCUCUUACGAGGACUGAACCAUUACCGUGGAGAAAUAUUUGCUUACCCAAUGUUUCUUCAAAGAGAGAUGUCAAAGAAGGCAAAUGUUACCUUCUUCUGUAUGGAUGUUACAUGCAGGUAAUCCUCAUUGUCAUAUUGCAAAUCCAACUCCAUGAUUAAAUUGUCUUGUUUCUCAGCUUUACAGUGAUUUUUAGAUUUCAAUUAAAAAUGGAUCUUUGUUACACUCACAUAAUGCUGCUCCUGCUUUUUAGGUACUGGCCCUACCUUAACAAAGUAGCAGAGGGUUUACCAGAGCUUCUGCCAUUGACAGAAAUGAGGCCAUUUCUGAGCGUCAUGCAUGCCAAAGCCCAUACAGCAAAAUGCGAGGUACAUGCAAUAACUUUGUCUGGUAUGGCUGUAGCUAUAGGGAAAUAAUAAUGGGUCGGAUAAUAAAGGAUGCUGUGUGUUAUCUUUCACCAACUGCUUUUCAGCUGCUUUUGUAGGACAUGGAUUUUGUUUUCCCCCGCAAAAUAAAAAGCUUGUGUCAUGAGAUAGUUUAAAAUAUUGUAUGCUAUUAUGCCUGAUUGGAUGAUGUAUAUAAAAACUUACUGAAGUACUGCUACAUAAUGCUUCUCACUCUGUGUUGUCAGGUGAGAUGGGGUGGCAGAAGCCAGGAUGGAGCAGGAAACACGGUGGGAGAGGAAGUAGAGCAGGUAUGGUAUUAUUGUCAGUAUUUUAACUAUGGCUACAAAGAGUCUUAAUAGAAUCCAUAACACCAAAAGGUACUUAUUUGUCAUCUAAGUAACAAGCCUGGUGUGAGGGUUAAAGUACAUCCUUUAUGUAUGAGUUAAAAUAAAUAAUAGGCAGUUCAGUUGUUCAUGCAUGCAUAAGGGGUCCCAGAUUCCUAGGAUAAUACAGCACACAUGUUUUCUGUUAAACCACAACCACAAGAUCUAUGGUGUGUAGGUAAUAUUUUUAUGUAAUGGAGACCAAAAUUUUAUUGUAUUAUUUUCUUUAUAGGUGAACAGCUUUCUCUCCAGGGCAGCACUUGUCACAAAAUACAUGACAAAGGCUGGUUAGUGUUGCACUUAUACUUCACGCUGUCAUAGCCUAAAUAAAUAAUAAUAAAUACUUAAUUGUGUUUUUACAGGGAAUUAAAAAACAAAGUUUCUCUGUUCUGUUCUUACAAAAGUUAUCAUUGUAUUACUUCAAGGUAAUUACCCGUUCAACUAACUUUUAGUGAUAGGGUUUAGGCAUGUCUGUUGGGUUUCUCUUUUUGCCUUUUGGUUGUGAAAUCAUACUUUUUGGCUUGUGGGUGCAUUGUUUUCAUUAGGAAGAGUGAACAUGCUAACGCGAGGAAGAGUGAACAUGCUAACGCGACAGGCCAUGGGUUGGAACAGAAGAAAGAGGGACAACCUUCAUCAAGUGUUAGCCCACAGAUAUGUCAAAGUAAGAGUAAAUUAUAAUUGAGAUCCUAAGCACUGCCCCUUUCUCUCAGUGCAUCAUCUACAGCUAGAUCUGAAACUAUUUGUUGAUUAAUUGUUUAAUCAUGUUACAUAAAAUAAAUAUGUGACUAUUUAUUUCUUAAAUAACUUAUUAAUUUUAAGUAACUGAGGGGAGGGUAGAGUUUAGGAUUGGUCAGUUACAUUCUAAGAUUGUAACCUCACUGUUUUACAGACAUUUUUCUCCUAUUUACAAGUCUGCUUGGUAGUAUACACAGAUAUUUAAUGUAUUAUUUAAUGUAACACCUGUUCUGAUGAAUGUCUUGUACCAAAAGCUCAAGUAAGAUUUCUGUUUUUUUUGCAUUGUGGUGGUGCGUAGAGCUUUUUUUCUGAAAUUUCUUUCUUUUUAAAAGAUCACAGAGAAGGCAAAACUGGAAGCUGCCAACCUUAGCAAAAUCAAGAAGGAGCACAACCUUGAUCAGGAGACAAUACAGCAGUGGGUGUGUGAUGUCAGACAAUGGGCGGUUACAGGUAAAACAGUACACUAUGUAUAUACAGUGUGUGUAUAUAUGCACACACACACACACACACAUCUGUUAAUGACUGUACCUUUAUACAAAUAAUAAAAGGUGGCUAUAUUUUGAAAAUGUCACUAAUUGUCUCUUGUCCAACUGUUUUGUUUCACCUAUUUAGAGAGAGUCUACACUACAGGUUGUACUGAAGAGCUAAGGGCUGACAUUGAGAACAUCACUGUAACCCUUUUGCGCAAGAAGAAAGAUCUGUAUCGUCGGCAUUGGUUUGUUGUACAAAUCUAAGUUUAUUUAAGUUAAUAACACUUACAAAAACAUAAUAUUCUAUGGCUACUAGUUUUCUUUCAUUUCGAUUUGCAGGAGUUGAAGAAAAAGCUUCGCGAAAAGGUCUUGCAAUACAACACCAUAGUGGAAGGAGAUCCGAUUGACGAGGAAUUGGCUUGCAGUCUGACAGAGGGAUACAUCCUACCAUGGGAGAGACACAAAGAUGGUAUAUGUAUUAAUUGCUAGUUUACCAUUGUCCUUUUUGUUACUUGUCAUGCAACAACACAGGAAUGGGAUGAUACAUUGAAAUAAAAAUAUCAUGAAUACCAAAAUAUGGAAAUAUUUAUCAUGGAGCAUAAACAUUUGAAUGGUGACAUCAACACCAUGUUAUUCUGCUGUAGUAAACGCAAAUAAAAUGCUUGACCAUCACAAUUUCACAAGCUCUCCAUCCAAAUUAUAUUAUUGUUACUUGUAUUCAUAUUUUUUAAUU